UUGUCUUGCGGGAAACUAGAAAGGCAUCGCAUUAUUGAGGACACCUAUUCGCUUGCCAGGCAAAAUCAUUUAACUAAAGCCGAGAACGUGUUCGGGCUUUGUUCAUUCUCUUGGCAAUUCGCUGGACACUGAUAGCCCAUCUCCACAAAUAUGAAAUCUAUAGUGACCUUCCUUACUUGCCUUUGCGUCCUUACAAGCAUUUUGGCGAAUGAAGUGGAAAUACCCUCAGUGAUAUCUGAAAGAGCAGAACUUCUGGACCCUUCGGGAAAAUCACGCACUCUUGGAAAAGAAGGUCCAAUGAAACAAAAAGAAAGAACCGGAAAAGAAUCGAGCCCAUUAAUUCUGGAUUGACCAUCAACGCCACAAAACAAAAUUAGGUGAACGACCCCUGAUUCCCCCAAGCAUCGUAUAAGUACCAAAAACAUGGCAUGGAAUAAGAGAACACCGUUGCAUAAAUACGAAAUAUAAUUCAAGUUCCUGUGAACAGCAUCAAUCUGGCAGCAUGAAUAAAGGAGCACAAGAAGAAAAAUCAUAAGAAAUUUC